rnacentral:tRNA from 1 species
UUUUCUGUUAGAGAAUGCCCUAUUUACACUGGGGAGUGUAGCUGUGCAAUUCAGCUUAAUUUGA